UUGGCUGGUGCCUCCCCUAUUCCGAUUGGUUGGUUCAUAGACUGCAUUGAUUGUUGAAUACUAGGCAUUGUGACCCAGGUUAAACGCUUGCCUUGGACGGUGGCAUCCCACGGCAAAGUGCAGGACCGAGUCGUUUCCACUUCAAAUUGAGCUGCCUGCUGCUGUGCAUACUUGAGUUCCUGCCACCCUUGUGGGAGACCUGGAUGGUGUACCUGGCUCCUGGCUUUGGGCUGGGCCAGUCUUUGCUUUCGCAGGCUGCCGAGGGGGUGGUGAGAUCCAGAAAUGCAAAUGAGAGCGCAGGUCAGUGUGUUGAGAACCGUCAGCCUGCUCGUAAGCGGAACUCCCUUCCGAGGUCGUCGCACACUUGCCAUGGAUCCAGGUGGAGGGUGUGAGUCUUACCUUCCACUUGCAGUGUGGUGCUUAAGGGCCGUACUCGGGGCGUCGGCCAAGGCUAUGCUCAUUCCUGUCCGCCAUGGACCAGUAGAAUAAGCCUGACUCCGUUACGACCUCCCGGCCUCUUAGGGUCCUGACCUUCGAAGCAGAGCCAAUGAUGCUUGCCUCGGUUGGUGUGGGGAUUUAAUGAGGCGAUGUGUAAAACACACAGUGAGGUCCUUCAUGCAUUGACAGUAGCUGCUAUUGGUAUUUUAAAAGCAAUGACGUUUCUUCCAACUUUUAAAAUUACAACAGAAUCCCCUAAAGCUCGGGUCUGGUGUCCCUGAGCGCAAUGUCAGCUUUUUUUUAAAAAAAAAUUAUUUAUUUAUUUAUUUUUGUGAUGUCAGUUUUAUGGAGUUGAGUUUAUCAGAAACUAUGUAGUUAACAAGCUUCAUGGUCGUGAAUAGGAGAGACUGGUUCUGGCCCACAGAAGCAGCAAGGGAGUUUCAUGCCUGUCCAUGCACUCUCAGUAUAGGUGGCAUUGUCCAGAGAAGGGGUAAAAAUUGGUUUCCGAGGGGCAAAGGAAAUCUUAGAUAUAACAACAAUCGGUAGUCCUGGGGUGGACCAUGGUACCCAAACAGAUGCACUGAAUAUCUGUGGUAUUAAAACCUCACUAGGGCCAGGAGUGGGAAUGACGAGAGAAUAGAGUCUGAAGCAUUGCCUUUGGAGUGCAGACGGGGGUGGGGAGCAUGGAAAGAUCUGGGGGCACUGGAGGAAGUGGGUAGCACUUAGCGUCUGUGCACAGGUCAAAGCACCAGGCUCAGAUGAGGGCACAGCUGGCAGCCGGAAGCUCAGCACAGCCCACGCCACAGACAUGGGCUGAUGAGGGUGGUGGCAUCGUUGCCACUGGCCACUGGGUGCCUCUGGCACUGGGGCAGGAAACCAGUGCCUGUGCUUCUGUUUCACGCACCCCAGCCCCGUCUCCCUAGAGCUCCAUAUCCCACCACACACAUUCACUGUGGAUUUCCCCAAGUGCAUGCAGAUGGCAGCAAGGCAAAAUGACAGUGCAUGCUCUCUGAGGCCCUGUGGUUCUAGGGACCCAGGCAGCCCCGAGUACAGCACUACCUUUUGUAGCUGUUUGCUCGGUGUCAUCGGUUCUGGGGAUUGGUUUCCCGUCAGCCCCAGCUGCUGCUAUUCUGGGUCAGUGUUUGCUAUCUUCACAUUUUCAGCAAGUGGCUUUUCACCUUCUAAUCUUUGACCUGUCUUCCGUGGGGCAAGUGGAGAUGCCACUCAUUCCUCUCAUGCCUUCUCUUUCCCUCCAGAAGUGUGGAUCCUUCACUCCUAAGCCCCUUCUCACUCUGGCCACUCCCUGGGAUUCUCUUGACUUACCCUUUCUUCCAAUAGUCUUAUCAUUCUUGGGGCCUCCCUUCAUCAAAUCUGCCCAGUUUCCCUAGGUGGGAAAUCUGUGAUCUGUUACAUGCAGAUUGGGGUGGGGGUAGGGGAGGGGCCAGGCAAGAGCAGAAGUGAGCUGGGUGGCCCUGGCAGAGCCUCAGGACUGAAGAGAGUAAGUCGUGUUAUCUGGCAUCAUUAGUGUGCUUGUAUAUCGUGUACAGUGCUGUAGGGCUUUACACAUGCACAUGUAGUCUUUUUUUUUUUUUUUUUUUUGACUGGCAGAGUGGACAGUGAGAGAGAGAGACAGAGAGAAAGGUCUUCCUUUGCCAUUGGUUCACCCUCCAAUGGCCGCCACGGCUGGCGCACCACGCUGAUCCGAAGCCAGGAGCCAGGUGCUUCUCCUGGUCUCCCAUGGGGUGCAGGGCCCAAGCACUUGGGCCAUCCUCCACUGCACUCCUGGGCCACAGCAGAGAGCUGGCCUGGAAGAGGGGCAACCGGGAAAGAAUCCGGCGCCCCGACCGGGACUAGAACCUGGUGUGCUGGCGCCACUAGGUGGAGGAUUAGCCUAGUGAGCCGCAGCGCCAGCCACACAUGUAGUCUUAUGUGACAGUAGCAGCAUUGUGAUGAGAUCUUUGUUAUGGUAUUCAUUUUUCUAACCUGGGACACACAUACAGGAAGUACAAACAAGCAGGAUUUAAAUAUUCCAAAGGAGAGUUAGGAAGAAUGGACUCUUAUUGUACCUUCUGGGACUAACCAAGAUCCUCUCUGAUUUCAGCCCCACUUGUAACCAGGCCUUGGCAAACUCAAUUAUGCUCCUGCGUACCCUGGCUUCCUGCCUCAUGUUACCAGUUUCUGAAGACAAUGGAGAUUCAUCCCAUUUGUGCAAGCCAGGCAAUGUCUAUCUUUUCAUAGCCCUAAGUACUCUCAGAUUACUGUUAAUUAAAAUUAAUUCAGAAGUUCCAGCGUCAGUAAUAAGAACAGGUCGUAUUUCACAGUUACACUUCGAAUGUCAUUUUGACAAUUAACUCGUCUCCAGUGACCAAGAGUCAGAGCCAUUUGAAAACAGUGAUUUCAACCCCUUUCUUAUUUCCUCUGGGAUAUCUCACACGUGUUGCAGGGAUUUGGAUCACGCCUACAUUCUGAGAAGAUGCAUUUGUUUGUGAUGUCUAGAGUUUACCAGGUGAAGGAAAGAGUUAAAUUAACUCUAGUUGAACAGCAACUUAUCCUCAUUAUGUUGUGGCGAAUAGACUGGUGGGACCCUGUGCAGAUGAGAAAGAGAAUGCGUCGUGACUAAUCCCGGCUUUGGCCAUUGUUUGGCCACAACACUGACAGGAGCUGCAGCUUCCUAUCCAACUGACCCACAUGAGUCUGGUUCUCAUGGAAACGUGAUAAAUCAGGAUGCGGCCACAUGUGGAAGUGCUACGUUUGGCUUUGCACCUGGAAUAACAGUGCGCUAAUGAGGCUGACGAAACCAUCGAAGACCCCCAGCACCAAGGGUGAGUUCAGGGGCUUUCACGCACAUCUCAGCAUUGCUGUCUGUGAAAGCCGUGGGCUCACGUCGGACUGCUUCCCCAUGUCCCAGAUGCAAGCUUGUUUGCUUACUGCUUAUUUACUUAAGUAAUUGAUUUCAGUUUCCUUUGGCAAUCACUGGAAAUCCCUUUUCCUCUGAAAAGCAACUACAGAGACUCAGGUUUUAUCUCAAAAUUUAUUUGUGUAUUUAUUUUUUAAAGAUUUGUUUAUUUACUUGAGAAGCAGAGUUACAGACAGAGAGAGGGAGAGAGACAGAGAGAGAGGUCUUCCAUCUGUUGGUUCACUCCCCAAAUAGCCGCAAAGGCUGGAGUUGGGCCGAUCUGAAGCCAGGAGCCAGGAGCCAGGAGCCAGGAGCCAGGAGCCAGGAGCCAGGAGCAUCUUCCGGGUCUCCCACGUGGGCUCAGGGACUUGGGUCAUCUUCCACUGCUUUCCCAGGCCAUGGCAGAGAACUGGAUCGGAAGUGGAGCAGCCAGGACUUGAACCAGCUCCCAUAUGGGAUGCCGGUGCCACAGGCGGUUGCUCAAGCUCCUGCGCCACAGUGCCGGCCCCAGGUUAUUUUUAAAUACAAGGGAUUGACACUAUGAGACCUACAU